GCUUCUCAGUGUCACGUGAAGGUUCCUCCACCGCCAACAUUGCCAUCUCAACUGCUCUCAACACAUUCAACCACGACACGGUCGUUAGCAUCUACGUUCUCCGCACAGUGCAGUAGUGGUGAUGCUCCUGCUAUUCCAAGUCGGCCGGAACGUCCAGGCACAGCACGCUGUACUCAGGGUCCAUUUACAGACUGCGAUCCCUUGCUGAUCAAUUCAAGCUGUCGUGGUACGGUAUCACAGCGGUCCACCAGAGAGGUGCCAAGUCUGUUUGAGACUACUGUCCCUUCUGUCCUACAUGAACCAGCAGGUCACCAGCACUCUGCCUCGUUUCUGCACACAUACAUAGAACAGUCUUCCUGCCUGUCA